AGCUCCAAUAGCGUAUAUUAAAGUUGUUGCAGUUAAAAAGCUCGUAGUUGGAUUUCUGGGAGCGUGCCAAUGUCCGCCUCCGGCGAGCGCAGCGGCGCGCUUCCAUCCUUCUGUUAACGCCUCUUGGCAUUCACUUGCUGGUGGCGGGCUCAGAUAUUUUACCUUGAGAAAAUUAGAGUGUUUCAGGCAGGCUAGGCCGGAAUACAUUAGCAUGGAAUAAUGGAAUAGGACUACGGUCUCUUUGUUGGUUUGAGGGACUGCAGUAAUGAUUAAUAGGGAUAGUUGGGGGCAUUAGUAUUUAAUUGUCAGAGGUGGAAUUCUCAGAUUUGUUAAAGACUAACUUAUGCGAAAGCAUUUGCCAAGGAUGUUU
rnacentral:rRNA from 1 species